rnacentral:rRNA from 1 species
GACGAACGCUGGCGGCGUGCUUAACACAUGCAAGUCGAACGGAAAGGCCCUGCUUUUGUGGGGUGCUCGAGUGGCGAACGGGUGAGUAACACGUGAGUAACCUGCCCUUGACUUUGGGAUAACUUCAGGAAACUGGGGCUAAUACCGGAUAGGAGCUCCUGCUGCAUGGUGGGGGUUGGAAAGUUUCGGCGGUUGGGGAUGGACUCGCGGCUUAUCCGCUUGUUGGUGGGGUAGUGGCUUACCAAGGCUUUGACGGGUAGCCGGCCUGAGAGGGUGGCCGGCCACAUUGGGACUGAGAUACGGCCCAGACGCCUACGGGAGGCAGCAGUGGGGAAUAUUGCACAAUGGGCGGAAGCCUGAUGCAGCAACGCCGCGUGCGGGAUGACGGCCUUCGGGUUGUAAACCGCUUUCGACUGUGACGAAGCGUGAGUGACGGUAAUGGGUAAAGAAGCACCGGCUAACUACGUG